CGAGAGCUGUCGGCGAGAUUCCUAGAUCCAAAACCCUAAGACGGCAAAAACCUAAUUGAGUCGCAUGUCGAAUAACAAAAACGGAAAAUUGCCUAAAAUCGCUCUAAGUGCUAAGUUUGCUGUGAAAAGUCCUCCCCAUGCCUCUCGCCUAGGACUCCUUAUAUACUGGCUCCAAGGUCGGUUUACGCUUUUCCCCUUCUGCCGUUAAGCCGUCAUAGCA
rnacentral:lncRNA from 1 species